rnacentral:rRNA from 1 species
GGGAAACUGGGUCUAAUACCGGAUAGGAGCUCCUGCUGCAUGGUGGGGGUUGGAAAGUUUCGGCGGUUGGGGAUGGACUCGCGGCUUAUCAGCUUGUUGGUGGGGUAGUGGCUUACCAAGGCUUUGACGGGUAGCCGGCCUGAGAGGGUGACCGGCCACAUUGGGACUGAGAUACGGCCCAG